rnacentral:rRNA from 1 species
GAUGAACGCUGGCGGCGUGCCUAAUACUUGCAAGUCGAGCGAACAGACGAGGAGCUUGCUCCUCUGACGUUAGCGGCGGACGGGUGAGUAACACGUGGAUAACCUACCUAUAAGACUGGGAUAACUUCGGGAAACCGGAGCUAAUACCGGAUAACAUGUUGAACCGCAUGGUUCAACAGUGAAAGACGGUCUUGCUGUCACUUAUAGAUGGAUCCGCGCCGCAUUAGCUAGUUGGUAAGGUAACGGCUUACCAAGGCAACGAUGCGUAGCCGACCUGAGAGGGUGAUCGGCCACACUGGAACUGAGACACGGUCCAGACUCCUACGGGAGGCAGCAGUAGGGAAUCUUCCGCAAUGGGCGAAAGCCUGACGGAGCAACGCCGCGUGAGUGAAGAAGGUCUUCGGAUCGUAAAACUCUGUUAUUAGGGAAGAACAAAUGUGUAAGUAACUAUGCACGUCUUGACGGUACCUAAUCAGAAAGCCACGGCUAACUACGUG